ACUAUGCUCAUGAAACAUACCACACACAAAAAGAAUAUGCAAAAGAGGUGACCUAAUCUCAUCCAUACUUAUGUUGAUUUUUCAAUCAACUAGCCUUAGGACCUUGAGAUAUCAUAGGUCAAAUGAAAUGGAUGCAUAAAGAAGGGAAAUUAAAUGAAGAGGGAGGGGAAUUGAUCAAAAGUCAAAUUGGACAAAGGAGGACUUUUACCAAAUUAAGAUCAUUCAUUCAUUUUGGGAGAUGGAAUGUACAUUCC
rnacentral:lncRNA from 1 species